rnacentral:rRNA from 1 species
GAUGAACGCUGGCGGCGUGCCUAAUACAUGCAAAUCGAGCGAACAGAUGAGGAGCUUGCUCCUCUGACGUUAGCGGCGGACGGGUGAGUAACACGUGGAUAACCUACCUAUAAGACUGGGAUAACUUCGGGAAACCGGAGCUAAUACCGGAUAAUAUAUUGAACCGCAUGGUUCAAUAGUGAAAGACGGUUUUGCUGUCACUUAUAGAUGGAUCCGCGCCGCAUUAGCUAGUUGGUAAGGUAACGGCUUACCAAGGCAACGAUGCGUAGCCGACCUGAGAGGGUGAUCGGCCACACUGGAACUGAGACACGGUCCAGACUCCUACGGGAGGCAGCAGUAGGGAAUCUUCCGCAAAGGGCGAAAGCCUGACGGAGCAACGCCGCGUGAGUGAUGAAGGUCUUCGGAUCGUAAAACUCUGUUAUUAGGGAAGAACAAAUGUGUAAGUAACUAUGCACGUCUUGACGGUACCUAAUCAGAAAGCCACGGCUAACUACGUG